GGGAACAUUUAAGUUCAGGCAGAGGCAACCAAGAGACUUCCACAAAUAAAAAGAGCAGGUGCAAGGAGGGAAGAGAGGUGAAGCUCAGGUUAGAGCAGGUGGAGGGAGGGUCAGAGCAUGCCCAGGCAGUGCCAGGAUUUUUCUGGAUUCUCAGCAGCUCUGGGGAAGUUGGACAGAGUAUGCAGACACUGGUUUGCUGGGCUAGAAUUGUUUUCACACCAAAGCAGAUGCUAAAGAUGACUCUAAGUGGCCCCUAGAACAGGGAUAGCAGGGCUAUGGGGCAGGAAGCCAGGUAGCCCAUCCAGACCUGGCCCAGAGAUCACCCUCUGAGAGCAUCUGACAGUCUCGUACCAGGACAAGAUGUCCUGAUCAGACUUCAAGAACAUGCUCAUCUUACCUAUCCAAGGUUGCUUGUCUGACAUUUCCAGGUGUUACUGAUGACUAGAGUCUCCCCAACUACCCCAGGAGUUUCUCCAUGUUUCCACAGUUCUUGGCUAGCUGCUUUAUACAUCAACGGGUUUUUCCCCUACAAUGCAGGCAUAUGAAGUAGAUGCUGUUCCUAUUCAACAAAGAGCAAGGCUCACACAGAUUAAGAACCUUGGCCAGGACCCUAAAACUGACAGGGCUGGGACUGGUCUUCCUGACUCUAAAACCCUACAUUCUAAGCAAAACCUAAGGUGUUUCAGUUCCUUUGGCUGAGUAACAAAUUACACUGAGUUUUAGUGGCAUAAGACCAACCAUUGAUUAAGCCCUGAUUCUGUGGGUCAUAAAUUCAGACAGGGUACAGCAGCCCUGACUUGGGUCUUUUCCAUGAUGUCUAGAUCCUCUGCAGUGUCUUAGAAGGCUGGAGGCCUUACUCAUCUGAUGGCUUAUUCACACCCAGAUCUUCCACUUGCGGCUGGCUUGAGGCUGGGUGCCUAAGUUCCUCUCUACAUAGGCCAGUCCAAAAGGCCUGUCUGCAUGGACUCCUCUGGGAUUCCACAUGGCAUGGAGGUACUGCCUCCCCCAACCUAGGAGUAUGGGUCCCCCCAGAAAAAGAGAAGCAGGUAGAAGUCUAUCAUCCUUUAAGGCUUAGCUUUGGAGAAUGGAACACACCCAUUCUGCUGGAUGCUCCUUGUCAAGGCAGUCCCAAAGCCAUCCAGACCUGCAGGAAGAGGAAACAGACCAUGCAGCAAGGUGGAAAAUGCAAUAGAACACAGGAAGGAACCUGGAGGGACACAUCUUUUGGAUGAAGGGCUCAAGGGGAU
rnacentral:lncRNA from 1 species